rnacentral:lncRNA from 1 species
UACAAACAAUUGCACUCUUCUAUUCAUCACAAGAUAUCAUUGAUCAAUGCAUUAUAUAUAUCAACAGUUUUCUUCACUCAAGUUAGCUACAACCAUUAUGGAAAUACACAAGUCGGAUAUACAAGAGAGGCAUGUUACAAACAUAAUGGCCAAAGUUCGUAAGAGACCAAGUGCUUGUUCCCUGGACUGCUACUGCUACAGAAUAUUAUGGAAGACCAAAUCUUCAAUCGCCAAGCCAAAUCAACUUCCAUAUGAACAAAAUAUGUCAUCCAUGUUCUCAAGAAAAGCAAUCACAAGAACAUCUUCGAUCAACUAGUGGACUUGCUACUUUCUACCAUUUGUCCCUACAAAAGAACUCACAUGUUUCAGCAAUCUUUGAAACAAUACAAUGUAUUCAAAUGCAUGAGUUGCCUUUGAGUCCAAAGGUCUAAGAAACAGAAGAUGUACAAGAAAAGUAAACUGAUACUUGAUUGCCUCACCUCUCUAAUAAAAAUUAUGCAUGUCAUUGCGGUUCAUGCAUUCUAUAGUUAUAAAGCAAAGAUUCAAGUUACAAAAGGUAACCUUAUUAGGAUAUAAACCAAAGUCAGCAUAGCACCUAGCAUAUCAAAAAUGGCUUACUAUAAAAAUGUAUGAACUCGCUGAUGAGCAAUCAGGUUGUUCUAAGCCAUCAGGAGUAAGGUCCUUACUGUAAUUUCAGAGAUUACAUUCGAAGCUACUCAAUCAGCAAAACGCUACAACACCUAUGUUUACAUACAAAAGGAGUCAGGUGUAAUCCUAAUAUGUGGACUGAACUAAAUAUGCUUCCCAGAAAAAUAAUGGUCAAGUUUUUUUUGUGGCUGAUCUUUAAAAGAGAGCAAGCUUCAGUUUAGCUGCUAGGAAUUGCAGACUGACGGACAAUUGUACCACUCACCGUAUUUGAACAAAUAUGCAAGCAAACAUUCAGUUUAGCUUGCAUACUAAAUCACGCAUUUCUGCUAGCUUCCAUGAUCAAGUCUCUGAACUUGAUACUAUUUGCAUGAUAAUGGGGGUUGCGCUGCACACAUAUAAACAUAGAAACCAAACAUUCUAUGUUCUGCUAUAACCCAGAUGCAGUAUCACCUUAUCGUGCCCUUAAUUCUUGUCUAUUUCCGAUAGAAAUUAGAUACUCUAGUAGCCUGAUGCAUCAUCCAUUUAUAAUAACACUACAAACUGCACUGUAUGUGUUUAGUUAUGAAGCAUGAAACCUGACAAGAAAAAUACAAAGAUUGCCCAAAAGAAAAAUAAUAGUAUUUAGUUCAAACUGAGGACCAUUUUCCCCAUUCUGAACCUAUGUCUUCCUGACCCAAGCAUCAAACGAAACAUAGCAGUGUCAUCUCAUGGAAAAAAGUUGACAAGAAUAACACCCGGUGUUUCCACAUUUCUGAUUCCUUGAGAAAAGAGAACUUGAUCGAUCUCUCCAAUUUGCCGUUGCAUUUAUUCCGUGCACUCUAGUAGAGUAGAAACUUGUUCAUCUUGUCGACGAAAUUGAAUUUCCAUUGCCAGUUAUGUUGGCGGUUCAGCUGCUUCUUCAAGUUGUUUCUGCAAAAAAUAGAGCAAAUGAGGCUCCUAAUUUAUUUCUACAAUUAAGUGAGUGCAGUCUAUACUUGUCAUCAAUUGAUAUGCAGUCCCGUGAAUGGCUGUACUAAAGAAAAAAACAUGAUGUCCUUAUGUGACUAACAGAUAGUGUCACUGCUUGUGCGUAGGAACUCCAAUAUAUACACACAUCAUGCAGCAUUACGAAAUAUCAUAUGAUGAAUUGAAACCAUGCGUAAUUGAACUAGCCUCAUACAUGGAAGACCACAAUAAAGAAAUACACUGUAGUUGAACUAUGGUAGAGUAGAGCAGCGAGAAACUGAGGGUCAAGAGGGGCAGAGCCACAACCUUGUGUGGGGAGUCGUGGUCAGGGCCGUUGGCUUGGGCUUGGGGUCCCGGUCGUCCUCCUCGCCCAUGGAGUCGAGUGCCUGCUGCACCAAAUCAAGCAGGAAAAUAAAUAUCAUAUUAUUCCAAGGUCAGACAUCCAAUCAAGUGGCAAAAGAAAUAAAGAAAGAAGAUAACAUGAAGAUUCUAAGCAAAAGAACAACUUAUUUAUAAAAUCCUCCAUUAAUUUAAUCUAGUUUAGUUUCAACCAAGCAGCAACUAGAUCAUGGUUUAGUAUUUAUUUAUCCUGGACCAAACUGGUAGAUUUGAUGAACAAUGGCUGAAUAAGAAAACUACUACUACAAGUCCAGUCCCUAGAACCAACAAAUAUUAAGCAUCGAUGGCAUGGUCUGCAAGGGUCAAAGUAAAGAGCAAUUUCUACUGUACCAGAUUAGACUGUUUACUCAAUAAAUAAACCUGAAUUUUAAUCUAUAAGCAAGCAACAUCGAUAUCGUGCAAUAAAAACCUCAAGAGGAGCAACCCGCCGAAAAGAUGCAUUCAGUUUGAUAUAUCAAUGUAAACAGGACAAACAACGCUUAAACAAUGAAAACAAAAGCAAGAAAGAACAAUUGAUGUUGCUGUGGCUUCCAUGUGACUCCAUUUUCGGUUGCGACAGCGACUAGAACAUCUUAGCCAAAGAGGGAUCACAAGUCCAGAACAAAAUAAGAUAACUGCAUUUACACACAAUUCCUAGUUCCUUACCAAACAACAACAAGAAGAUAGUCAGGCCACUUGCAUCGGACCAUAAACUGGCCAGAAUUAAUGCGAUGAUACAGAAAAUGCAGAGGGAGGGGAGUUGUUGUUUAUUACCACCAUUGAUUGUUGUUGCUGUUGUAGUUGAUCAAAAGGGCGACUUGGUUGCUUCCUACUCUCGAUACUGAUCCAGUUCCAACCGACCUCCUGCCUGGAGUUGGACUAGAGGAAUUCCAACUCUACCUACAAACCAGGCAUAUUAAUUGGCAAUAUAUAUUCGAAAAAACAUGUAUCUAUCUAAUUCGCAGCAAGGAAAUCAAUCAACUAAAAGAGAGUCAUGUCCUGAAUAUUAAUUGGUAACCAAGAUCCAACCAGCAAAAUGGUGGCAUGCCAGGAUGCCAAAAACUGUUAGUUCAACAAGGAGAAUAUAUCAAGGGAAAAUCUAAAAAGAAAAAACAAGGCUUGCCGCUGGCCUAUCCACAAAGUACCUGGGAUAGAUAUAUGCUAGCAGCUAGCAUUCUUGCUGGAAUAAUAUUCACAUGUAUGUGCUUGCAAACUAAACCAUACAUUUUCUGCUAGCUGCCAUGAUUAGGGCUCGGGAUUUGAUACUAUUUGCAUCAUCAGGGUGCUGCUAUACAUAUAUAAAUAUAGAAACCAAAUACUCAAUGUUCUUCCAUAACCCAGAUUUACUAUCACCAUAUUGUGCCCUUACUUAUUAUCAUUUUUGAUAGAAACUAGGUAUUAUGACAGUCUAAUGCAUCCAAUGUUUAUAAUGACAUUACAAAUUGUACCAUUAAGCAGCUUAGGAGGACUAUCCUCUGUUCCCGUAACAGAACCGAUGUAAAUUCUUGACUUGCCUCCACCACCUACAUAUGAAGAUUGACUAAUUGUUAGUACAUUACUGACAAAUGCUUCUCUUGGAUAGACGCAUCACUACAUGUGUACAUAAUUAGGACAUACAUAUCACAUUUGUUACUUCAUAGACCCAGACAUAAUCAGAUUUAGCUACAAGGCUUUGAAAGUUGGCAUCCGUGCAAUAAGAAAAAAAUAAAUGAAAAAUAAAAUAUGCCACUCACAAAGGGAAACAUAAUUACAAUUCUAACAGAAGAAUGACACACAUCCCUCUCCUUUGUAAUGCCUCGACCAGGAAAUUGUUACAUGCUACAAAUUUGUGGAUGAUGCACGCACAAGAAUAACCAUAGUUUUAUUUACCUACUGGAAGAGGCCAACCGAUUCAUGGCUGGAUCUGUUUAGUUACCUGCACAUACUAGAAAACCACUGACACAGCUUACCUAUAGCGACCAGAUCUGGAGGUGGGGCAAGGAAGGGGCGACGAGAAACCACUCACAUACCAGAAGCUUAC